AAAAGCAGAAUCCUUGCACUUUUUGUGAGAAAGGCUAAUUAAACUCAAGUAGGUGCUACCAGAUAAAAAUGCUAUGAAAUUCACUCGUCAAAGAUAAAAGUUUUGUUAUGUAAAUAUACAAUACCUUUUAAAGAAUAGUUCUUGAGUUCAGAAAAAUAUACCACGCUGAAACUAAAUUUAUAGAGGCAAAAUAUAUUGUACCGACAUGAAAAUGUACAAUACUGUAUUGGGCUAUUGCACUUAAUAUGCGCACCCCCCCUGUUGAGGACCUCGGAAUUCUUCGGGGUUAGUCGAAUAUUUCACGCGGAAUUCUUCGGGGUUUGUCGAAGAUUUCACCGGAAUUCUUCGGGGUUUGUCGAACAUUUCACCGGAAUUCUUCGGGGUAGUCGAACAUUUCACCCGGAAUUCUUCGGGGUUAU